rnacentral:lncRNA from 1 species
CCAGCGCUCGUGUGGUCCACCAUGGACCGCGGGGCACUGGCAGUCUACAGGAGGCGCAUGGACUGAAGUUGCGGUCUACGCACGGUUCAGAUGCAUUUUUGCACGAUCGGACAACCCAUAACGCAGUCAGUCGCGAUCAAACGGCUGUGAGCGAAUCCGAGCAUGAUCAGGUGAUCAGUGGAGCUGUUUUGCAUGAUCGAAUGGCUUUGAUGCGAGCC